ACACUUUGUCCAUAGCGUGUCCAGUGCUUGUAGCGCAACCAAAACUUCGACGUGCACACACUUGCACGCACACGCAUGCACAAGAAGAAGCAUGCACACAGCAAGUAUACGCCGCAUUGGCUUCGAUUUCAUUUUCUCGGUCAAAGUCAAUGUCAAUGCAAAUGCGAAUUGCGAAGACGCAGUGGCUGCCAUGGAGACGCAUUAAUUAACUAAUCUAUUGGUUACAUUUGCAGGUCGCUUGCUCGAUACGCGGAAGACAAAGGGCGGAAGUAGCCCAACAAGUCCAUGUCCAAUGCCUCUGGCCUGUAAUAAUCGACUGAAAUAAAUAAUAAUUUUUUAGAUAGCAAAGCCUGCGGCGUUGCCUUAUUUAAAUAUAUAAUUUAUGCAUAUUCUAUGUAAUAUUCUAAAUGUUAAUUCUAAGUUCAAACCAAUGUCAAGGUCCGCAAUAAAAGAAGAAAACUUGUUCUUGUCAAACGAA